rnacentral:rRNA from 1 species
UAGGGAAUCUUGCGCAAUGGGCGAAAGCCUGACGCAGCCAUGCCGCGUGAAUGAUGAAGGUCUUAGGAUUGUAAAAUUCUUUCACCGGGGAAGAUAAUGACGGUACCCGGAGAAGAAGCCCCGGCUAACUUCGUGCCAGCAGCCGCGGUAAUACGAAGGGGGCUAGCGUUGCUCGGAAUUACUGGGCGUAAAGGGCGCGUAGGCGGAUAUUUAAGUUGGGGGUGAAGGCCCGGGGCUCAACCUCGGAAUAGCCUUCAAUACUGGAUAUCUUGAGUUCGGGAGAGGUGAGUGGAAUGCCGAGUGUAGAGGUGAAAUUCGUAGAUAUUCGGCGGAACACCAGUGGCGAAGGCGACUCACUGGCCCGAUACUGACGCUGAGGCGCGAAAGCGUGGGGAGCAAACAGGAUUAGAUACCCUGGUAGUCCACGCCGUAAAACGAUGAGUGCUAGUUGUCGGCAUGCAUGCAUGUCGGUGACGCAGCUAACGCAUUAAGCACUCCGCCUGGGGAGUACGGUCGCAAGAUUAAAAACUCAAAGG